GACGAACGCUGGCGGCGUGCUUAACACAUGCAAGUCGAGCGCUGAAGCCUUUCGGGGUGGAUGAGCGGCGAACGGGUGAGUAACACGUGGGUGACCUGCCCUCAGCUCUGGGAUAAGCCUGGGAAACUGGGUCUAAUACCGGAUAUGACCUUCUGUCGCAUGGCGGUUGGUGGAAAGUUCUUGGGCCUUCGGGUUUGGGUUCGGG
rnacentral:rRNA from 1 species